rnacentral:rRNA from 1 species
GAUGAACGCUGGCGGCGUGCCUAAUACAUGCAAGUCGAGCGAACAGACGAGGAGCUUGCUCCUCUGACGUUAGCGGCGGACGGGUGAGUAACACGUGGAUAACCUACCUAUAAGACUGGGAUAACUUCGGGAAACCGGAGUUAAUACCGGAUAAUAUAUUGAACCGCAUGGUUCAAUAGUGAAAGACGGUCUUGCUGUCACUUUUAGAUGGAUCCGCGCCGCAUUAGCUAGUUGGUAAGGUAACGGCUUACCAAGGCGACGAUGCGUAGCCGACCUGAGAGGGUGAUCGGCCACACUGGAGCUGAGACACGGUCCAGACUCCUACGGGAGGCAGCAGUAGGGAAUCUUCCGCAAUAGGCGAAAGCCUGACGGAGCAACGCCGCGUGAGUGAUGAAGGUCUUCGGAUCGUAAAACUCUGUUAUUAGGGAAGAACAAAUGUGUGAGUAACUAUGCACGUCUUGACGGUACCUAAUCAGAAAGCCACGGCUAACUACGUG